ensembl:lncRNA
CCGGUCCCAGAUCCCUGGUCUCCCCCACAGCCCGAUCCCUGGUCUCCUACAGCCCGGUCCCUGAUCUGUGGUCUCCUACAACCCGGUCCCUGGUCUCCCACAGCCCGGUCCCAGAUCUGUGGUCUCCUACAACCCGGUCCCUGGUCUCCUACAGCCCGGUCCCUGAUCUGCGGCUUACAGGCCCGGCACCGCAGGCUUACAGGCCCGGCACCGCAGGCUAGUUUAACAUUAUAAAAAAGGUUCUGUCAGUAACAUAAAGCAAUAGGAGAAAUAAGAACCCUAAAAUGCAAUUCUUCAAACCAAUCCUGCACCAGCAGUACUAAGCAAGAUGAUUGGAUGGGAGGAUAGGAAGAUGUACUGAGCAACACUAACCUAAGAGCAAGUGCACAGGAAGCCACACUAGUAAACACAGCAGGAUAUCAAUGAAGUGCACAGGAAGCCACACUAGUAAACACAGCAGGAUAUCAAUGAAG